AGAGUUUGAUCCUGGCUCAGGAUGAACGCUAGCGGCAGGCCUAAUACAUGCAAGCCGAACGGCAAGCUUGGUAGCAAUAUCGAGCCUAGAGUGGCGUAAGGGUGCGUAACACGUAUGCAAUCUGCCCGCAACAGGAGGAUAGCUCCCCGAAAGGGGAAUUAAUACUCCAUAAGAUCACGAGAGGGCAUCUGAUAGUGAUUAAACUACAAGGGGUUGCGGAUGAGCAUGCGGUUGAUUAGCUAGUUGGUAGUGUAACGGACUACCAAGGCAAUGAUCAAUAGGGGAACUGAGAGGUUUAUCCCCCACACUGGCACUGAGAUACGGGCCAGACUCCUACGGGAGGCAGCAGUAGGGAAUAUUGGACAAUGGGCGAGAGCCUGAUCCAGCCAUGCCGCGUGCAGGAAGAAGGCCUUCUGGGUUGUAAACUGCUUUUGCCAGGGGAUAAAAGACCCGUGCGCGGGGAAUUGAAGGUACCUGGUGAAUAAGCCACGGCUAACUACGUGCCAGCAGCCGCGGUAAUACGUAGGUGGCAAGCGUUGUCCGGAUUUAUUGGGUUUAAAGGGUGCGUAGGCGGCCCUGUAAGUCAGUGGUGAAAUACGGCAGCUCAACUGUCGAGGUGCCAUUGAUACUGCAGGGCUUGAGUACAGACGAGGUAGGCGGAAUUGACGGUGUAGCGGUGAAAUGCUUAGAUAUCGUCAAGAACACCGAUAGCGAAGGCAGCUUACUAGACUGUAACUGACGCUGAGGCACGAAAGUGUGGGGAUCAAACAGGAUUAGAUACCCUAGUAGUCC
rnacentral:rRNA from 1 species